UCUCUCUCUCUCUUUGAAAAGCACUUUUGUUUCUCUCUUCCCCUUCCUUCUCCUUCAUUCUCUCGAAACCCUAAAAAUAGCCGAUCCCCUCCCCUUUGCACACACAAGCCAGUACAAUCGAUGGGAAAAAGAUCGAGGGAGAAAGAUUGAGGCUUGAAAACUUCGACAACUAAUCUAAAUGGGAUUCAAUCCCCUGUGAAGCCAGUACAAAAGUGGUUCUUGGCUCCAGUUCGACAUCUGCUGAUGAAGAACUCUUACGCAUCAGAGCUACCUAUGUGUCUCACGAUGCUCAGCUCCUUUGAAAAGCCAGGGGUGGCACCAGUUCGCCCCUAGAAAAGUUCAGCAGUGGUCGGUGCCGCUCAGAUUAAGGGGUUUGGGUGAGGUUUCAUACAGGGGCUUGGCUGAGGUUUCAAAAAAUUAGGAGGUUUCCUUUUCUUUUAAGUUUAAUAGUUAAAAUGGGCUUAAUGAAGUGCUGAAAAGGGAGGAAAAGAGAAGGGGAAAUGGUGCAGUGUUUUGUCUGGAGAUUAUAGCUUAAGAUCUGCACUGUGGCUGUGGUGGUAGGUGUGGCUCAGAUGUUGGCGAAAAAGAGAACAUAUUCUUUGCUGCUAUGGAGUUUAGCAAACCAAGCAAGCCCAGGGUUUGGUACACAAGACCGUGGAGCCCAUCUGCAUCGGUGAAGCCUCUUAGUCAUAGUGGUUGCAGAGAAAAUCGUACCAAUAAGCAUUCAUAUCAUUUGAAAGUCAAUUUCGCAGAGCUUGGAAGCAACACGCUCGGGCGAUAUAGCACCUUCGAACUUUAGAAGGGUUAAAGUAUCUUAUUUCCACCAAACUAAUGGCAGUUCCAUAUUCACUCAGCAGCUCAUAUUUAAAUGUACUUCUUACAUACCUCUGGUAGUGGUGUGGAUCCUAACUCUAAUUGUGAUUUAAUUUUUUUUCCUUUUGAUUAGGUUGAUAUAGGGUUAUAAUAAUGUGUGUCUUUUAGGCAGGGAUUGCAGUUGCUUAGGCUACAAUAACACCACUUACCAUCAGAGCUUUUCGCAACAAGCUUCUUGAGCUAAUUGUAUAGGUUUGUUAGUAAUUUGGACACAGUCUGCUCUGAGUCAAACCCAACUAGCCGUCUGGCCCAUUUUGCCUCCCUUAAUUAUAUCCUCUGAUGAUUUGUUUGGUUUCAGUAUAGACCCCGGUUAUGUGAAAAUAUCUGGAGGGAUCAAAAUAAUGCUGAUGUUGAGGGUGGAUUUGUGGAAAGGACCCCUCAAGAGUUAUACACUCCGAAUGUAGUGGGUUGCGGACUUCAUCAACAGACAUUGUAUUUCUUAUGUACAUGCGUAUCUGGGACUUAAGAUAGCAAAAGAUCCAAAACAGACAUUCAUAUAAGUUAUUUCCAAUCUUCCACAUACUUUUUGUAAUCCUCUUUUUUAGAUGCCAUCCUAAACAUGUUUUUAAUGGUGUAUGCAGAUAAUAAAAAAUGCCAACUUGAAGAAUAAGAGAAUUAGGCUCUGGGACAUAUAGUACUGGUUAAGAUGGUAGAUAGCGAGGGUCGGAUGUCAAGGGUUUCAGUCGCUAACAACGAAUCUGCAAGUUUUAAUCUUUCCAACAUAUUAUAUAUGUCUACUUGUUUGCUGAUGUUAUUUGCUGUUGGAUUUGGUAAUUUGGGCCUGUAUGAAAUCCUAACAAAAUGAAAGUCAAAUAUAGAAAAAUCAAAAUUUGGCUUU